UGCAAAUCAAUAUAAAUUGAUUUUUUAAAAUUUAUUUAUUAAUUUAUUUUAUAUUUUUAAAUUAAUUUAUUAAAAAUAUUUAUAAUGAUUUAUUUGUUUUAGUAAUUUAAAUGAAAUAAUAUAUUUUAUAAUAGUUUAUUUGUAUUGUGAAAGGUUAUUGAAAUAUUUUGAAAAAUAUUUAUAUUUAAAGAAAAUUUAAUUUUUUGUACCUUGUGUAUUAGGGUUUAUUAAUUAAAAUAAUAUAUAUUUAUUUAUUUCGAUUUUAUAAGAGUUAAUAAUUUAUGAGAGUUAAUGUAUUAAAAUUAUUUUUAAUAAAUUAUUAGAAAUGAAAUGUUAUUCGUUUAUUAAGAUAUCUAAUUUUUUUAGAAAUAAAUUUAAUUUACAAUUUUUUAAAAAUUUUUUUUUUUAAAAAUAAAUUUAUUAAAAAAUUGAAUAUUUUAUGGGAUAAGCUUUAAAAUAAAAAUUUAUAAAUAAAUAAAUUUUUACUUAAAUUGUAUAUAUAGAAUUAGUAAUCAUUAAUAAGUUUGUUUUAAAUUAUUAUUUAAAUUGUAUUAUUUAUUUUAUUUUAAGUUUAUAUAAAAAAUUAAUUUUUAAUAUAAUUUGAUUAUUUAUAAUGAUAAAAUUAGUAUAUUUAAUUAUAUAUAUAUAUAUAUAUAAUUGAUGAUUGAUAAGUUAAUAUAAAGAACUCGGCAAAUUUAUGUAUUCGCCUGUUUAACAAAAACAUGUCUUUUUGAGUUUUUUUAAAAGUCUAACCUGCCCAAUGAAAAAAUUUAAAUGGCCGCAGUAUUUUGACUGUGCAAAGGUAGCAUAAACAUUAGUCUUUUAAUUGAAGGCUGGAAUGAAUGGUUGGACGAAGUAUUUACUGUUUCAUAUUAAAUUAUUAUAAAAUUUUAUUUUUUAGUAAAAAAGCUAAAUUAUAAUUAAAAGACGAGAAGACCCUAUAAAUCUUUAUAUUUUAUUAUAUAUUAAAUUAAUAAAGAAUUUUUUAUUUUUAUUUAAUAAAAUAUUUUAUUGGGGUGAUAUUAAAAUUUAUAUAACUUUUAAUUUAAAUUUAACAUUGAUUUAUGAUUUAUUGAUCCAUAAUUAAUGAUUAUAAAAAUAAGUUACUUUAGGGAUAACAGCGUUAUUUUUUUAGAGAGUUCUUAUCGAUAAAAAAGUUUGCGACCUCGAUGUUGGAUUAAGAAUAAAUUUAGGUGUAGAAGUUUAAAAUUUUAGUCUGUUCGACUAU
rnacentral:rRNA from 1 species